UCUAUACAUCAUAUAUGUAUCCCUAUGAGCUCCACAUGUUAUUUUGAUCAAGAAAUCAUCAAGAGUUUGGAGUUGGUUUGCCUUGGAAACCCUAGUUCAUCUGGGCAUCUUGUGUAACUUCUUCAACAAGCUUCUUCACUAAUUGAUCAAAUAAUUCCAGGGAUACUUCAAAUUUCAUCAUCGUAUGCAUAUAUGAUCUCCCAUA
rnacentral:lncRNA from 1 species